rnacentral:rRNA from 1 species
AAACGACUCUCGACAACGGAUAUCUC